UGAGCUUUCGCUCUCCAUCCACCAUGGCUGAACGCCACAGUCGCAGACCUGCCGUUGACUUUCAUCCCUCUGGAUUUGGCAGGGUGUCCACUGAGCUUCUGAUUCAGCGAGGUGCUCAUUGCUGCUCCCAAUCAGGCUAGAGGCUCGCCAUUGUUCCUGCACCGGGAAGUGCCCGGGUUCAUCCUAAUUAGGCUGAACACUAGUCUCUGGGUUCCAUGGUUCUCUUCCGUGACCCACAGCUUCUAAUAGAGCUAUAACACUUACCGCAUGGCCCAAGGUUCCAUUCCUUGGAAUCCCUGAGGCCAAGAACCCCACGUCAGAGAACAAAAGGCUUGCUGCCAUCUUGGGAGCAGCCGGCCCCAUCUUGGGAGUGGCCCACCACCAUCUUGGGAGCUCUAAGAACAAAGACCUGCUGGUAACACUAUCUCUGGCCACCUAUCUCUGGCCUAUCUAUCUCUGGUUCCUAUCUCUGGCCAUGGCUUGAGCCAUUUGGGUGCAGUGAACAGGAAACUGUAAAGAGUGACAGCCCUGCUUCUACAAAAUGGAUGCCAAGGUGCUAUAUCAAUGAUCAUGGGCCCUAUUUCCCCAUUCUACUUUCUUUAUGAUGGUGAGCCAAGAACAGGACACACACAAUGCCAAUGCAUUUGUAGUUGAUACUACAUUUGUGGUCUCAUGGAAAGAGCACAGGAUGCAGAAUUAGUAUGCACAGAGGUUACACCUCCUCCCUCCUUAAAUAGCACUUAGUGUAAUUGAUGCCAAGUUAAUCCCUGUGCUGCCAAGAGAAGUGUCCAUGGGGUAGGAACCGCAUGCUGUUUUACCUGUGCUUAAAGAGGAAAGUGUCACGCGUCUCUGAAGAAACAAUGUUGACUGAAAAAUAGCGCCAAGUCUCAAACAAGAUCUUUGUGAAAAAUAAAGCAUGAAGCACAAAAUGAGAGAGGUAGACUGGCAUGUGAGUCAGUAGACUGAGUGAAGAAGAUCUGCCUUCAGUGUGGGCAGGCAACAUCCAACUGGCUGGGGACCAGGAUGAAACAAAGGCAGAGGAAAGGAUUUCCUCUCGUUCCUUGAGCUGAGACACACUCUUCUGCUCCUGCCCUUGGACAUCAAGACCCACAGCUCUUCAGCCUUGGGACUCCAGGACUUAACAUCAGCAGUCCCAACUCCACCUAAGAAGGUUUUCAGGCCUUCAGCCUCAGACUGAGAGUUACACCAUUGAUUUCCCUGGUUCUGAAGCUUUUGGACCUGGACUGAGCCACUUUACCAGCAUCCCAAGGUCUCCAGUUUGCAGUUUGCAGAAGGCCUGUGAUGACUAAAACUGAGGCUUAGUUAUGCAAGUUGUCUCCAGUCACACAACUGAAGACUUUUUUAAAUAGCCAGAAGUGGUGAAUUUGACAGUAAAGGACAAGAAGAGAAAGUUCUCAGACCUGAACAGGAAAAAAUGGUGCCUGGACACUACAAACAAUCUUCAUGUGCACUGAUCGGACAAUAAGUGAAUGGGUAAAUUUCUUUUCUCUAUCCCAUAUUCUGAAUCUUCAUCAUUAAAUCACUGUAACUUUUGUAAUAUAAUAUUUAGUAAAAUUGUGUAUGCAGACAAGGACCCAACACACCCUAGAAAAGGCCCUGCAUUAGGGAACUGGGCUAUGGAAAGCAUUAUGUAUCUGUUUCUGCACUGUGUGGCUAUAUAAACUCUGACAAGAUUUUGUGACAUUGGCUCAAUACAUAAGGAACUUAAAUCUAAUGGCAGAUGAGUACAUGCUCUUUCUGUCAAUCCACAGACCACCUGAAAUGUUGCAUAAACUAGCGUCUCUUUUUAUUUAAUCAAUUUUAUUUUUUAGUGGUUUUAAGUUCACAGAAAAGUUCAGUGGAAAGUACAAAUAAUUCCCACAUAUUCCCUGCCCCCAUGCCACAACCUCCACAACUAUGAACAUACUUGCACCACAGUGGCACAUUUGUUACCAGUGAUGCACCUUCUCACACAUCAUCACCUAAAGUUUAUAGUUUACAUUAGAGUUCACUCUUGGUGUUGUAACAAACGGAUUUUAACAAAUGGAUCAUGACACGAUCUACUCUUGUAGUAUCACACAGAAUAAUUUAACUGGCCUGAAAAUCUCCUGUGUUCCACCAUCCUCCCUAGCCACCCAACCUAUAGCAAUAAUUUAUCUUUUUCCAGUCUCUAUUGUUUUGCCUUUUCCACAGUAUCAUAUAGUGGAAAUCAUUCAGUAUGUAGCUUUUUCAGAUCUUUCACUCUGUAAUAUGCAUUUAACGUUACCCCAUGUCUUUUCAUGACUUGAUGGUUUAUUCCUUUUUAGCACUAAAUAAUAUUCCAUUGUCUGAAUAUAUUAGUUCAUUUAUUCAUUUGCAUAUUGGUUACUUCCAAGUUUUGGAAAUUAUGAAUUGAGCUGCUAUAAACAUUCAUGUGCAAGUUUUGUAUGAACAUAAGUUUUCACAUCAUAUGGGUAAAUAUUAAGGAGUGUGAUUUGCUAGGUUAUACGGUAAGAGUAUGCUUAAUUGUUGUUUUUAUGUAAAGAUGGAGUCUUGCUCUGUCACCCAGGCUGGAGAGUAGUGGUACAAUCAUGGUUCACUGCAGUCUCAAACGCCUGAGUUCAAGCGAUCCUCCUCCCUCAGCCUCCCAAGUAGCUGGGACUACAGGCACACACCACCAUGCCUGGCUAAUUUUUUCAAUUUAUUUUUUGUAGAGACAGGGUAUUGCUAUAUUUCCCAGGCUCGUCUCAAAUUCCUGGUGUCAAAUGAUCCUCCCACAGUGUUGGGAUUACAGGUGUGAGGUAUAUGCUUAGUUUUUUAAGAAACUGCCAAACUGUCUCCCAAAGCAUCUAUACCAUUUUGUAUUCCCACCAGUAAUGAAUGAGAGUCUCAGCUGCUCCAUGUCCUCAACAGGAUUUGGUAUUUCUUUAAAAAAGUAAUUAACAAAAUAUCUGUAUUUGAAAAGUGUCUUAAAUAAUACUGUACAUAUGUUUGGUGACUAAUAUAUAUGUACUGAAUAAAACUAUAAUACUCUAACUGAUGGAUACACAGCAUAUAUUAUUCUUGUAUCUUUUCCUAGAAAGCCUUGGGCUACUCUAAAUCUGUAAUACGUAUUUCAACUUCUCUACUUACAUGUACUAUAUUAUAGCAAUUUCUAUUGAGUUAUAAUCCAUAUUCACUCUCCUGAUUUGCUAAAGUCACAGAGGCUUUCAUCCCUAGUUUCUAAAGUGCUAAUACUAGUUUUUUCAGGCUUGUUUUUAACUUUUAUUUUAAGUUCAGGGGUACAUAUGCAGGUUUGUUACAUAGGUUAAUUGUGUAUCAUGGGGAUCUAAUGUACAGAUUAUUUCAUCACCCAGGUAAUAGGCAUAGUAUCCAAUAGGUAGGAGUUGAUUUUUUGUAUAACGUGUAAGGAAGAGGUCCAGUUUCGAUUUUCUGUAUAUGGCUAGCCAUUUACCCUAGCAUCAUUUAUUGAAUACAGAGUCCUUUCCUCAUUGCUUGUUUUUUGUUGACUUUGUCAAAGAUCAGAUGAUGUUAGCUGUACAGCUUUAUUUUUGGGCUCUCCAUUCUGUCGUAUUGGUCUAUUAUCUGUUUUUGUACCAGUACUAUGCUGUUUUGGUUACUGUAGCCUUGUAAUAACAGUUUGAAGUUGGGUUAACAUGAUGCCUCUAGCUUUGUUCUUUUUGUUUAUGAUUGCCUUGGCUAUUCAAACUCUUUUUUGGUUCCAUAUGAAUUUUAAAAUAGUUUUUCCUAAUUCUAAUUCCUUCCCAAUUCAAGCAGUUUCCCAGCUUCCCUGUCACAUCCUUGGGUAAUUUCCCACUGCCACUCACCGCAUACUAGACAUAAUUAAAUAUUUUAAUGUGCACUCACUGUUUUUUUUAUGGAGUACAGAGUAUA
rnacentral:lncRNA from 1 species